AUUGAACGCUGGCGGCAGGCCUAACACAUGCAAGUCGAGCGAGCGGCGGACGGGUGAGUAAUGUAUGGGGACUGCCCGAUAGAGGGGGAUAACUACUGGAAACGGUAGCUAAUACCGCAUACUAUCGGAUAACCCAUAUGGGAUUAGCUAGUAGGUGAGGUAAUGGCUCACCUAGGCGACGAUCCCUAGCUGGUCUGAGAGGAUGAUCAGCAACACUGGGACUGAGAAACGGCCCGGACUCCAACGGGGGAAGCGGUGGGGAAGAUUGCACAAUGGGCGAAAGCCGGAUGCAGCCAUGCCGGGUGUAGGAAGAAGGCCCUAGGGUUGUAAAGUACUUUCAGUCGGGAGGCGUUACCGACAGAAGAAGCACCGGCUAACUCCGUGCCAGCAGCCGCGGUAAUAC
rnacentral:rRNA from 1 species